rnacentral:pre_miRNA from 1 species
NNNNNAAAAAACUCUACGUUUCCGUGUCCAAUAUUUAACCGUCCGUCUUAUUUAAAAAAAAUAUAAAAAAAUUAAAAAGACAAGUCACGCAUAAAGUAUUAAUCAUGUUUUAUCAUCUAACAACAAUGAAAAUACUGAUUAUAAAAAAAAAUUUAUAUAAGACGGACAGUCAAACGUUGGACACGGAAACUCAGGGUUUGUCUUUUU